rnacentral:rRNA from 1 species
AUUGAACGCUGGCGGCACGCCUAACACAUGCAAGUCGAGCGGCAGCGCGAUUAGUAGCAAUACUAAUUGGCGGCGAGCGGCGGACGGGUGAGUAACACGUAGGAACCUGCCCAGAAGUGGGGGAUAACUAAUGGAAACGUUAGCUAAUACCGCAUACAUUCGGGAGGAGAAAGCUGCAGCAAUGUGGCGCUUUUGGAGGGGCCUGCGUCCGAUUAGCUAGUUGGUAAGGUAAUGGCUUACCAAGGCGAUGAUCGGUAACUGGUCUGAGAGGACGACCGGUCACACUGGGACUGCGACACGGCCCAGACUCCUACGGGAGGCAGCAGUGGGGAAUCUUGGACAAUGGGGGAAACCCUGAUCCAGCGAUGCCGCGUGAGUGAAGAAGGCCCUCGGGUCGUAAAGCUCUUUAGGCUGGGAAGAAGGUUGGUUGAGGAAAUGCGGUCGACUUGACGGUACCAGCAGAAUAAGCACCGGCAAACUCUGUGCCAGCCGCCGCGGUAA